UGCGAUACUAUAUAUGACAACGAUGCGCGGAGAUCUUGGAGACAUGCGUGUUUUUGUUAGAGUAUACGACUAUUCUAAUUUUAGAAAACGGCCUAUCCAGGAGUAACACAUUUACCUCUGACAUCCAUACUUAAUUAAGAAGAAUUAGCACGAAUAUCGAGAAGAGAAUCUCAACAAGCAUGCGUUCUGUACGGUUGCUAUCUGGAUACAAUAUGCCGACAGUGGGAUUAGGGACAUGGCAGGCUAAACCAGAAGAAAUCGAGACCGCUGUAAGCACCGCUUUGGAAUGCGGCUACAGGCAUAUCGAUACAGCGACCAAUUAUAAUAAUGAGGAAGCAAUCGGUAAAGCUUUAAAAAAAUGGUUUGAAAAAGGUGGUACUAGGAAGGAACUUUUUAUCACGACGAAGUUGCCCCAUUUUGGUAAUCGACCAUCCGAUGUAGAAAAAUUCAUCAAGUUAUCAUUGGAGAAACUUGGAUUGGAUUACUUAGAUAUGUAUCUUGUUCAUUUGCCAUUUACAUUUAAGUUUGACGAAAAGACGGGCGCUGCAGCGACCCAUGAAGAUGGAAGUUAUAUACUCGACUUUGAUACAGAUCCUGUCUCAGUAUGGAAGGAAAUGGAGAAGCAAGUUAAAUCAGGGCGUACUAGAUCCAUAGGUUUGAGUAACUUUAACGAGGAGCAAAUUUCGACUAUUUGGGAAAACGCACAGAUUAAACCAAGUAAUCUACAGGUGGAAUUACACGCGUAUAUGCAACAGAAAUCAAUUCGAGAUUUGUGCAAGAAGCACAAUAUUGUUAUAACAGGUUACAGUCCAUUGGGCUCUCCAGCUGCAAAGACACACUUUGAGACAAAAUAUAAAUAUACUUUAGAAAAAUCUCCCGACUUAUUAAAUCAUCCGGUCAUACAAGAUAUCGCCGCAAGACAUAAAAAAACAACAGCACAAGUCUUAUUACGUUAUUUACUGCAACUGGACAUUGUAAUUAUUCCCAAAAGCUCGUCUCCCGAAAGAAUCAAGUCCAAUAUCGACUUAUUUGAUUUUGUCUUAACAGAGGAUGAUAUGAAAGUCCUAAGUACUUUAGAUAAAGGUGCUAAUGGCAGAAUUUUUAACUUCUUAUUCUUUAAAGGAGUUCAAGACCAUCCACAUUAUCCAUUUAAAAACGAACUUUCAUAAUUGUAAAUUAACAUGCGAUCAUUAGUUUUUUAAUAAAAUAGUUGAAAAAGAAUUAUGUAACAUAUGCAACAAAAGCACAACGUUAUACGUAUUAUAAAUUAGAGACAUUUCCGUUGUUCUCUUCAAUGCAAUCUGUACAACAUUUUACGUUGCAAACGAUGUUGCAGUUCACCGCGACGUAUCAUUAUACCUGAUGUCCGAUAGGAAAUCUGCUUUUCAAUUGCUUUUCGAUGCGCGACAACAUUUCAUGAUCUUCUUCUGAGCAUACCUGCUAAUGAUCCAGACAUUGCUGCUUCUAAUGUAGACACUUGGAAGAGUCUUAGAGCCUCAUUAACAUGGAGUUCAGUAACAAAGGGUUGCAAUUGCAUUUUGGCCAGGGCUUCGGAAAUUCGUAUGACAGCUUCAAGCUGCCGAACUGUUAUAGUUUUUCCCCUGCCUCUGCACUGAGUCUUGGACCACAACGCCUAUGAUAUAAAAAAAAAAUCAUAUUAGGGACACAUGUUACAUUGUAUAUGAAGUUUACGCUUGUAUGAUUAAAUGCGAUAAGAUGUGACAAAAACUUACGUUCUGCAAUAAUUAAUAUACUUUUU